rnacentral:rRNA from 1 species
UACGUAGGGGGCUAGCGUUGUCCGGAAUUAUUGGGCGUAAAGAGCUCGUAGGCGGUUUGUUGCGUCGGCUGUGAAAUCCCGAGGCUCAACCUCGGGUCUGCAGUCGAUACGAGCAAACUAGAGUGUUGCAGGGGAGACUGGAAUUCCUGGUGUAGCGGUGAAAUGCGCAGAUAUCGAGAGGAACACCGGUGGCGAAGGCGGCCUUCUGGACAGCCACUGACGCUGAGACGCGAAAGCGUGGGGAGCAAACAGG